UACGGAGGGUGCAAGCGUUAUCCGGAAUCACUGGGUUUAAAGGGUGCGUAGGCGGCUUAGUAAGUCAGUGGUGAAAGACUGUGGCUUAACCAUGGAAUUGCCAUUGAUACUGCUGAGCUUGAAUCAGGUUGAGGUUGGCGGAAUGUGACAUGUAGCGGUGAAAUGCUUAGAUAUGUCAUGGAACACCGAUUGCGUAGGCAGCUCACUAAGCCGUAACUGACGCUGAGGCACGAAAGCGUGGGGAGCAAACAGG
rnacentral:rRNA from 1 species